rnacentral:rRNA from 1 species
UACGGAGGGUGCGAGCGUUGUCCGGAAUCACUGGGCGUAAAGGGCGCGUAGGCGGCCUGAUAAGUAGGGGGUGAAAUCCUGCGGCUUAACCGCAGGGCUGCCUUCUAAACUGUCAGGCUAGAGCACAGUAGAGGCAGGUGGAAUUCCCGGUGUAGCGGUGGAAUGCGUAGAGAUGUGGAGGAACACCGAUGGCGAAGGCAGCCCCUGGGUUAACACUGACGCUCAGGCACGAAAGCGUGGGGAGCAAACAGG